GAUUAAGCCCAAUGCUUGUUAUUUGCUAGGGUUUCUGGUUCGCUAUAAAUUCCUCAAGCGUAAAUCCCCGGUGAUAAUACGCAGCUCGGUCUCUGUGCUAUCUCCCAGGGUUUAACUUCUGAGUCUCCCUUUCGAUUUUUGUUCACCAUGAGAGCCAAGUGGAAGAAGAAGCGUAUGAGGAGAUUGAAGAGGAAGCGCCGAAAGAUGAGGCAGAGAUCGAAGUAGUGUGCGUGUUUCCCCAGCAACUAUUGCCCUUAGUUUUGUUUCACUUCUGCUAUGUGUUUCUUUCUCAAUCUAAUGUUAUGAUACAUUUUAUUGGUUUCUUUCGCUUCUGUCUUAGCUUAAAAAAAUAUUCUUCCCGCAAAUUAACCAGUUUUAAUAUUCGAAGCUAUUGCAUAUCUAUUCUUUGUUUGGUUCA